rnacentral:rRNA from 1 species
GACGAACGCUGGCGGCGUGCUUAACACAUGCAAGUCGAACGGAAAGGCCCUGCUUUUGUGGGGUGCUCGAGUGGCGAACGGGUGAGUAACACGUGAGUAACCUGCCCUUGACUUUGGGAUAACUUCAGGAAACUGGGGCUAAUACCGGAUAGGAGCUCCUGCUGCAUGGUGGGGGUUGGAAAGUUUCGGCGGUUGGGGAUGGACUCGCGGGUUAUCAGCUUGUUGGUGGGGUAGUGGCUUACCAAGGCUUUGACGGGUAGCCGGCCUGAGAGGGUGACCGGCCACAUUGGGACUGAGGUACGGCCCAGACUGCUACUGGAGGCAGCAGUGGGAAAUAUUGCACAAUGGGCGGAAGCCUGAUGCAGCAACGCCGCGUGCGGGAUGACGGCCUUCGGGUUGGAAACCGCUUUCGCCUGGGACGAAGCGUGAGUGACGGUAAUGGGUAAAGAAGCAUCGGCUAACUACGUG